UCAGACUACUGGCUGUAAACGAACGAGUGCUGCGCAAUACUGGCUGUAUUCAAGGCUCAGCCAAUCGUAACAGCAGAAUGCUGCACGCGACCGAAGAGAGAAGCAACAGCCAAUUAGCUAGUUACAGCAUGAGCGCGCGCUCUGGAAAGACAGCAGAGAAUAGAACAGCAGCGCGCCCCCUGAACGAUAACGAAGAGGUCAGUGAGAAGCCUGACCACGGAGACCGGGCAACGAUAAAAGACCGUCGGAAUAUUCGGUAGAGAUCCGAUAGACCAGAAGGCUGCAAUUAACAUCCAUGCCAAACGGUGGAGCUGCUCGAUAGCAAACCAAGCCUGCGGCCAAACGGAGAAGGUAAACACACCACAACACGCAGGGCCUCCGGAUACCACCAUAGCUUGCUGUAAAAUAGUUCAAGAUCUGAUUUCUUCAAGUACAGUUUUGUUUUUGUUGGGGACCGGUUGGCUGACAACGUCAUGAAAAUGAAGCGCAUGCACCGAUGAGACCGGAAGGUGUAUGUUAUGAUUCUGAACGGUCAGAUAGCUAGCAACUGUGACCUACUGUUGGAGCAUCCUACUGGGGGACACACUUGUUUCUACAACGAGAGGACUUGAAUCUGACCUUUGUUGUGACAGGUUGUGCAAUGUUAGAUUCUGUUGUCACGAGUUAAGUUGUUAAGAAUAACUGGAUGAAUGUAAUAAAGACGA